CCCGUCUGGGCUCCAGCACACACAGAGCAAGCCCCCAAAGUAGCUCUUCAUGAGCCCCCGCAGGAGCAUGGAGUCGAAGUGGAAGAUGCGCAGGCAGCCAUCCUGGCUAACGCAGGCCAGGUGCCGGCCGUCAGGCUUAAGGACUCACAUCCAAUCCUUCAACUGAAUCCAAUCUCUUCUCAUCCCUGCCACCCUGGUCCCAGCCACCAUCAACCUUGCAAGUGGCCCAGCCAGCCUCCAGGCCACCACACGAUGCACCCCAGCUGAUAAGGCUCUAAAAGCCGAAGUCUUCCCCAUGGCCUUCCAGACCCUAUACGGUGGCCCCAGCAGGUUUCUCAGAACUUAUCUACCACCAUCCCAGCAGUGGCUGCUCUGGCCCGUGACCUUUCUGUUGUCCGGCUUUUGUC